rnacentral:rRNA from 1 species
GAUGAACGCUAGCGGGAGGCUUAACACAUGCAAGUCGAGGGGCAUCACGGGGUAGCAAUACUUUGGUGGCGACCGGCGCACGGGUGAGUAACGCGUAUGUAACCUACCCCCAACAGGGGAAUAACCCGGAGAAAUUCGGACUAAUACCGCAUAAAGACGGACUUGGGCAUCCAGGGCCGUCCGAAGCAGCGAUGCGGUUGGGGAUGGGCAUGCGUAACAUUAGCUAGUUGGUAGGGUAACGGCCUACCAAGGCUACGAUGUUUAGGGGACCUGAGAGGGUGAACCCCCACACUGGUACUGAGACACGGACCAGACUCCUACGGGAGGCAGCAGUGAGGAAUAUUGGUCAAUGGGCGGAAGCCUGAACCAGCCAUCCCGCGUGGAGGAAGACGGCCCUAUGGGUUGUAAACUUCUUUUCAAGGGGAAGAAAGUUCGCGACGUGUCGCGAUUUGCCGGUACCUUUGGAAUAAGCAUCGGCUAACUCCGUG